rnacentral:rRNA from 1 species
AUUGAACGCUGGCGGCAGGCCUAACACAUGCAAGUCGAACGAGUGGCGGACGGGUGAGUAAUGUCUGGGAAACUGCCUGAUGGAGGGGGAUCACUACUGGAAACGGUAGCUAAUACCGCAUACCAUCAGAUGUGCCCAGAUGGGAUUAGCUAGUUGGUGGGGUAACGGCUCACCAAGGCGACGACCCCUAGCGGGUCUGAGAGGAUGACAGGCCACACUGGAACUGAGAAACGGUCCAGACUCCAAGGGGGGGCACCAGUGGGGAAUCUUGCACAAUGGGCGAAAGCCUGAUGCAGACAGGCCGGGUGGAUGAAGAAGGCCUUCGGGUUGUAAAGUACUUUCAGCGGGGCGGCGUUACCCGCAGAAGAAGCACCGGCUAACUCCGUGCCAGCAGCCGCGGUAAUUC